rnacentral:rRNA from 1 species
CCUACGGGAGGCAGCAGUGGGGAAUAUUGCACAAUGGGGGAAACCCUGAUGCAGCGACGCCGCGUGAGUGAAGAAGGAAUUCGGUAUGUAAAGCUCUAUCAGCAGGGAAGAAAAUGACGGUACCUGAGGAAUAAGCCCCGGAUAACUCCGUGCCAGCAGCCGCGGUAAUACGUAGGGGGCAAGCGUUAUCCGGAUUUACUGGGGGUAAAGGGAGCGUAGACGGGUGUGCAAGUCUGGAGUGAAAGCCGGGGGCUCAACCCCCGAACUGCUCUGGAAACUGUACGGCUGGAGUGCAGGAGAGGUAAGUGGAAUUCCUGGUGUAGCGGUGAAAUCCGUAGAUAUUAGGAGGAACACCAGUGGCGAAGGCGGCUUACUGGACUGUAACUGACGUUGAUGCUCGAAAGCGUGGGUAGCAAACAGGAUUAGAUAUCCCUGUAGUC